GGGAAAGCCUGUGCUCGGAGGUUCUGCCCUUGACUGUGAGAGCGUCCCCAGCACGCUGACCAGCAUUCCCGGACUGGGGCUGCCUCAGAGGACACAUCAAUGACUCCAGCCAUUUUGCGGCCUCUCAUUUUUGGAAAGUGUUUCUUCAGUGUAAGCAGAGCCUGCUUUCUAGGCAUGUCUGAGCGCCCACCUCAUGGCCCUAUAAUCCUCACUAUCCUGGAACUUGCGGCGGGCCGGUGCACGAGGAGGAGCAGGGCAGAGAGACGCAACGGCUCCACCACCCACAACAUGUCCACGAGAAGACGCAUCUCGACACCCGUGAAUCUGGGCUCCGAGCCCCCUGGAUUGGGGAGACACAGUGUGGCUCCUGGUUAGUGGCAUUUGGCAAGGCCUCCAGUGUCAUCUUGUGUAAGAACAGCAAUAGAAGACAUCUGUGUCUUUUCCUUGACAUCAAAGGAAAUCCUGUUAAACUUCAAACAUUAAGUAAGAUGUUAUUGUAGAUUUUUGGAAGAUAUUCUUUAUCAGAUUAAAACAGGUUCCUUCUAUUUCUAGUCAGAUAAACAUUUUCUUUUCUUUUUUUUAGUUAAGAAAGAGUGUUGAAUUUUAUUGAAUAUUUUCUGCAUCUACUGAGAUGAUCAUGUGUUUUCUCUUUUAAUCUAAUAAGUGGUCACUUACACUGAUAUAUCUUCUGCUAUUGAGUGACACAUUCCUGGGAUAAACCCUAUUUGGCAAAGACAUAUGAUUGCUUUUAAACACCUCUGAAUUUGAUUUGCUUUGGUAUUUUACAUCUAUGUUCAUAAAUAACAUUGUCAUGUGAUUUUCUUCCUUUCUUCCUUCUUUCUUCUUUUUUGUCCUACGUUUUUCUAUUAUCCUAUUAUCUUUGUCCAGGUUGAAUAUCAAGCUUAAACCAGCUGUAUUCAAUGACUUAGUUAGCUUUCUCUAACUUUCUAUCCUCUCAAACAGUUUGUUUGAUUAUGGACUUAAGUACUGCUUCAAUUUAUUUAAUAAUGAUUACAAGUCCCUUAAAGUUAGCACAUUUCCUUGAGUCAAUUUUGGUAAUUAUCUAUUUAUUUAAGUUUUCAAGUUUAAUGGCAUAAAGUUGUCCAUAUACUAUUUUAUGAUUUUAAAAUUUCUACCGCAUCUGUAGUUAUGUCCCCUUUCACCAUCCAAUAUUAUUAUUUAUACAUUCUCUUUAUUUUCUCCUUAGUCUAUUAAUCUGACAGAGAGAUACUAAAAUCUCUCCCUGUAAUUUUUUUUAAAAAAACUUUUCCUUAUAAUUAUGUCAGUUUUUACUUUGUAUAUUUUGAGACUAUCUUAUUAGGCACAUACAAUUUCAUGAUAAUUAUACUGUAUUUGCGAAUUGUUCUUUCCAUUAUGCAAUAUUCCACUUUAUUUCUAUGUUAUGCCUUUUGUCUUAAAUUAUAUUUUGUCUGAUACAAAGUUAUUUUGAUUAGUAUUGCCUUGUAUAUAUGCGUAUCUUAUUUUUUAAAAUGAAUGGCAUCAUACUGUACACAUAGUUCUGCACCUAGCUUUUAUGAAAAAAAGUUACUGGGGGAAAUAACAUGCACAUAGAAAAUGCAAAAAACAUAGAUGUAAUAAUUAUAAAGCGUACACCUGUGUAACCACCACUCAGAUCAAGAAACGGAACAUGGCCAGCACUGCUCGUGUCUGCCUCUCCUUCGUCAUCCGUUCCCUCCCCCGCUGCAGAAGGAACCAGUAUCUUGACUUUUGUGAUAUUCAUUUCCUUGUUUUUCUCUACAGUUUUGCCUCCUCUGAAUGCAUCUCUAAGCAAUAAAGUUUAGCUUUGCUUGUUUUGAAACUUUAUAGUAAUGGAAUCAUAUGGUAUAUAUUCUUUUGUGUCUUGCCUUUUCUUUUUGCUCAAUAUUAUAUUUUUAAGAUUUAUACAUGAUGUUGCAUGUAACGGACUUGGCUUUUCCCACUUAUAAAUAUAUCUUGAGGAUUGUUCCAUAGCACUGUCUGUAGGAACAAUGACUUAUUCAACUAG
rnacentral:lncRNA from 1 species